CCUACGAGAGGCAGCAGUGGGGAAUAUUGGACAAUGGGGGCAACCCUGAUCCAGCCAUGCCGCGUGUGUGAAGAAGGCCCUCGGGUUGUAAAGCACUUUCAGUGAGGAAGAACGCCUGGUGGUUAAUACCCAUCAGGAAAGACAUCACUCACAGAAGAAGCACCGGCUAACUCCGUGCCAGCAGCCGCGGUAAUACGGAGGGUGCGAGCGUUAAUCGGAAUUACUGGGCGUAAAGCGCGCGUAGGUGGCUUGAUAAGCCGGUUGUGAAAGCCCCGGGCUCAACCUGGGAACGGCAUCCGGAACUGUCAAGCUAGAGUGCAGGAGAGGAAGGUAGAAUUCCCGGUGUAGCGGUGAAAUGCGUAGAGAUCGGGAGGAAUACCAGUGGCGAAGGUGGCCUUCUGGACUGACACUGACACUGAGGUGCGAAAGCGUGGGUAGCAAACAGGAUUAGAUACCCCUGUAGUC
rnacentral:rRNA from 1 species